rnacentral:rRNA from 1 species
AUUGAACGCUGGCGGCAGGCCUAACACAUGCAAGUCGAACGAGUGGCGGACGGGUGAGUAAUGUCUGGGAAACUGCCUGAUGGAGGGGGAUAACUACUGGAAACGGUAGCUAAUACCGCAUACCAUCGGAUGUGCCCAGAGGGGAUUAGCUAGGAGGUGGGGUAACGGCUCACCUAGGAGACGAUCCCUAGCUGGUUUGAGAGGCUUACCAGCCACACUGGAACUGGGGCAGGUCCCAGACUCCUACGGGAGGCAGCAGUGGGGAAUAUUGCACAAUGGGCGCAAGCCUAAUGCAGCCAUGCCGCGUGUAUGAAGAAGGCCUUCGGGUUGUAAAGUACUUUCUGCUGGGAGGCGUUACUCGCAGAAGAAGCAUCGGCUAACUCCGUGCCAGCAGCCGCGGUAAUAC